CAGCCCUCUGCUGCACCUCCCC
rnacentral:snRNA from 1 species